ACAGUAGUGGUUCAGUGGUAGAAUUUUCCCUUUCCGUGUGGGAGACCCAGGUUCGAUUCCUGGCCAGUGCA
rnacentral:tRNA from 1 species